CCCCUGGUAGUCCAGUGGUUAGAACUUGGUAUUUCCAUUUCCAGGGACCCAGGUUUGAUCCCUGGUCAGAGAA
rnacentral:tRNA from 1 species